CGGCGACUAGAGCAAUGGCAUCCUCCGCACCCCGCGCGCAAGGGGCGUGGCGGGGAUUUUGGCCCCACAAAGGGGAUGAAGUCGUGGGGAGCCAGUUUUUUGAGGUUCUCCCUCAACUGGCUCCUCUCAGCGGGAAUUGCGGGACUUCUCCGGCGAAGCCGUUUCGUGUUCCCUCGUUUAGCAGGAUUUCACGAGAAACUGGUGGAGAAGCCGCUCAAGAAGCCCUGCCAAAGGGGACCUUACUACCAGCAGAGUAACAAAAGCAGGACCGAGCAAAAUACCACUAAUUAACUUACGGUUUCUGCUGUUUGUUAGAGAUUCCAGCAGCACAAAAUUACUUAGGCUCCUUUGGAACAGCGGAAAACUAAAGGAAUUUUGAAGGAUUUCUUUUGAUAUUCCUUCAUUAAAAAAAAUUCUUAAGAUGCGGCCUGCACGUGCCUAGCUGUGAAAUCCGCUAUUACCAUUAUAUUUGAACUCUCGAAGCUAAUAAAGUCACUUUAACAAUUCCUUUAAAUAAUUAAGUGUCAAAAGAGAGAGAGAGAGUAACGACUGUUAAGACCAGGAUACAUUGAACCAGUAGGCGCACGUCGGCAAGGACAGUAGGACACGACACACGCGUGCAUGCACAUUGCAUCGGCUAACCAGAUUCAUUAGUGGCGAGAUAAUUAACAAUUUGUCGCGUGACUCGUGUGGACCGGCCCCUUUCUCUGGAAGCAUCCUUGUUUGGGCAAGUUGUUUAGGCGAUCGGGGCAGCCGGAGGCAGGCCACGGCCGCAGUACGCGAACCACCCGACCACCUUAACCUUAUCCCCCGGGCCCCCCGGAACACCGCCCGCCGCUCGCCGGCCGCCGGGCCCCGCCGCACACGGCGGCAUCUGCCGACGAUAUCCCGAUCGACCCCAGCUCCGGUGCACACUACUGUUCUGGAGAAACUUGAUCAUACAUUCUUCUCGCGUUCUAGACAGGUGCCUACGUGCCCGAUCCCGUGCUUUUGCUGGGCUAAACUUGCGCGCGGCCGCCGAUCGGUGCGGCUGGAAAGAUGGAUCGAACGAGACCCCGAGAUGGACGAGCAGGAACCAGGAAGGAAAGCCGCGACGCGAGCGCGACGCCGUGACCCACGAGCUCUCCCUCCUGGUUGACGAGACGGAAGGGACCCACGCGGACGGGGACGGUGAGUGAGGCGCGCGCCGCGCCCGGCCGGGACCCCCGCCCCGCGGGGCCGAGGAGAUAUUUCCG
rnacentral:lncRNA from 1 species